ACGGGCAUAUGACGUCACCGCGCUGGAUCUGCCAUGUUUAGUGCAUAGACGUCCCUUUUCCCCAUUGUUUUCCAGCGCAGCGCAGGACGUAGUCUCGCCUGGUCUUGCUACUUAAUUGUGAUUUUUAACUAUCUUGCUGCUCACUUUUCUUUGCCACUAUUGUCCAUCGUUGUUGUGUCGUGGGGUGCAAUAGCGCAAGCCACCAUAGGAAAGGGGGAAUUGGAUUAUCUUUCUACUCAUUUCCUUCUUGGAGGCAGCACCAUGGUGACCAAGUCUCGGAUAUAACAAAGUGUCGUCGGCUAGCAUGGGUCGCUGCUGUAAGACGACCAAAAUAACUUUCCACUCAAUCCUGACGAGUGUGCUCUCUGCAUUUUCAUUUUGGUACACCAGCAAAUGAAAUGAACACCUCCCAUCCGGAUUGGGCACUAUCACUGCACUUGGGGUACACGACCAAGACAGUCACCACCACCACCGAGACUUCUCGCUAUGAGACAGGAACAAAGAAAACGACGAAGGACUGAGAGCAUAGCGUCGAUGGAUGAGACACCCCUUGUUACACCAGUGGAGACAACUGGGG